GCACUGGCAGAACGUUUUACCGUUGUGGUUCUUUGCUGCUUCUGGAAAGAAAGCGACAUGACAGAAGUAGACAGUGU
rnacentral:sRNA from 18 species